AUGUAAAGAGUAAUAAAGGAGAGAGAGAGAGAGAGAGAGAGAGAUGUAAAGCGUAAUAAAGGAGAGAGAGAGAGAGAGAUAGAGAGAGAGAUGUAAAGCGUAAUAAAGGAGGGAGAGAGAGAGAGAGAGAGAUGUAAAGCGUAAUAAAGGAGAGAGAGAGAGGGGGGGUGUAAAGGGUAAUAAAGGAGAGAGAGAGAGAGAUGUAAAGCGUAAUAAAGGAGAGAGAGAUGUAAAGAGUAAUAAAGGAGAGAGAGAGAGAUGUAAAGAGUAAUAAAGGAGAGAGAGAGAGAGAGAGAGAUGUAAAGCAUAAUAAAGGAGAGAGAGAGAGAGAGAGAUAGAGAUGUAAAGCGUAAUAAAGGAGGGAGAGAGAGAGAGAGAGAAGAGUGUAAAGCGUAAUAAAGGAGAGAGAGAGAGAGAGAGAGAGAGGAGAGAGAGAGAUGUAAAGCGUAAUAAAGGAGGGAGAGAGAGAGAGAGAGAGAUGUAA
ensembl:lncRNA